rnacentral:rRNA from 1 species
GACGAACGCUGGCGGCGUGCUUAACACAUGCAAGUCGAACGGUGAUCUUGGGAGCUUGCUCCUGGGUGAUCAGUGGCGAACGGGUGAGUAACACGUGAGUAACCUGCCCCUGACUCUGGAAUAACCCCGGGAAACCGGGGCUAAUACCGGAUAUGACAUCAUCCCGCAUGGGUGUGGUGUGGAAAGUUUUUUCGGUUGGGGAUGGGCUCGCGGCCUAUCAGCUUGUUGGUGAGGUAGUGGCUCACCAAGGCGACGACGGGUAGCCGGCCUGAGAGGGCGACCGGCCACACUGGGACUGAGACACGGCCCAGACUCCUACGGGAGGCAGCAGUGGGGAAUAUUGCACAAUGGGCGGAAGCCUGAUUCAGCGACGCCGCGUGAGGGAUGACGGCCUUCGGGUUGUAAACCUCUUUCAGCUCUGAAGAAGCGAAAGUGACGGUAGGAGCAGAAGAAGCACCGGCUAACUACGUGCCAGCAGCCGCCGUAACAC